rnacentral:snoRNA from 1 species
UCUGAAUCAGUAUCCUUGAUCUUCCAAAGCUCAGAAAGUCUGUGCUGUCAUCACCUUUGUCUUUGCUUGAAUAUCAGAGAUCGAAGUUGAAAAACAGCACAACAUAU